AUUGAACGCUGGCAGCAUGCCUUACACAUGCAAGUCGAACGGCAGCACGGGAGCAAUCCUGGUGGCGAGUGGCGAACGGGUGAGUAAUAUAUCGGAACGUGCCCAGUCGUGGGGGAUAACGUAGCGAAAGCUACGCUAAUACCGCAUACGAUCUAUGGAUGAAAGCGGGGGAUCGCAAGACCUCGCGCGAUUGGAGCGGCCGAUAUCAGAUUAGCUAGUUGGUGGGGUAAAAGCUCACCAAGGCGACGAUCUGUAGCUGGUCUGAGAGGACGACCAGCCACACUGGAACUGAGACACGGUCCAGACUCCUACGGGAGGCAGCAGUGGGGAAUUUUGGACAAUGGGCGAAAGCCUGAUCCAGCAAUGCCGCGUGCAGGACGAAGGCCUUCGGGUUGUAAACUGCUUUGUACGGUAACGAAAAGUACUAGCCCUAAUACGGUGGGCUCAUGACGGUACCGUAAGAAUAAGCACCGGCUAACUACGUGCC
rnacentral:rRNA from 1 species